UCGUGCGUCGCAUCACGCUUGCUUCCUCAUCCUCACGCCAAAACAGCCCAACAUCGGCCCAAAUUUGCGCAAGGUUCGACAACAUGCCCCGCCUCUUCUCCCCGGCGGCGACGCAAGCCGUCCGGAUUCCCCGGUGCAUAUCCUAUCUCCGCCGCCUUCUGCCUCGUGGAUCUGGGCGGCCGCCGCAGCCCAAUCGCGGGGUCGCGGGGUGGUGACCUGGACCUACGGCGGCGGCAGAUCUUGAGGGCCUAGGGUUGCAGCAGCACAAAUCAAGGCCCUGGUCCUCCUCGCAGCGCUGCAGGCAGGCAAGGUGCGCGGGAGCGAGCGGUAUGAGGUGCGCAUCUCAGAACUCGUGUCAGUAAAGUAGGAUGGCAGAGCGGAUGGGGGAUGGAAGAAAACUCACUCGUGUACUGGAGGUGUGAAGCCGAUAAGAAUCUGUUGACUGACGGCUAGCUCGUUGGUCUGGAGCACGAGACCCCAGCUUGCCGACAUACUCGGCCAGCACCACCACUUAGCUAGAUAUUACAACUGCACAACUCUGUCAGAUGAACUGAGCAAGUGAAUCCACGACACACUCCGGGCAGGAGAGAUUGUGGCUGUCAGACUGCGACAAGACAACACUCUUUCCCUCACGUUUUGAUGCAACUACAAUUUUUUAAUAUGUCUGCCUGAAGUCCAUGUCAAAGAAGUGAAUGCAUUUUUCUUCCUGGUUACAAACAAUGCUCCUUUUUAGAUGAGCUAACAUGGUUACUGGAAUUGUCUGAAGAGAAACAGUUAUUUACUC